rnacentral:rRNA from 1 species
GAUGAACGCUGGCGGCGUGCCUAAUACAUGCAAGUCGAGCGAACAGACGAGGAGCUUGCUCCUCUGACGUUAGCGGCGGACGGGUGAGUAACACGUGGAUAACCUACCUAUAAGACUGGGAUAACUUCGGGAAACCGGAGCUAAUACCGGAUAAUAUAUUGAACCGCAUGGUUCAUUAGUGAAAGACGGUUUUGCUGUCACUUAUAGAUGGUUCCGAGCCGCAUUAGCUAGUUGGUAAGGAAACGGCUUACCAAGGCAACGAUGCGUAGCCGACCUGAGAGGCUGAUCGGCCACACUGGAACUGAGACACGGUCCAGACUCCUACGAGAGGCAGCAGUAGGGAAUCUUCCGCAAUGGGCGAAAGCCUGACGGAGCAACGCCGCGUGAGUGAUGAAGGUCUUCGGAUCGUAAAACUCUGUUAUUGGGGAAGAACAGAUGUGGAAGUAACUAUGCACGUCUUGACGGUACCUAAUCAGAAAGCCACGGCUAACUACGUG